rnacentral:rRNA from 1 species
CCUACGGGAGGCAGCAGUGAGGAAUAUUUGUCAAUGGCCGAGAGUCUGAACCAGCCAUGCCGCGUGCGGGAAGACGGCUCUAUGAGUUGUAAACUGCUUUUGUACAAGAGUAAACCUGAGUACGUGUCUUCAGCUGAGAGUACUGUACGAAUAAGGAUCGGCUAACUCCGUGCCAGCAGCCGCGGUAAUACGGAGGAUCCAAGCGUUAUCCGGAUUUAUUGGGUUUAAAGGGUGCGUAGGCGGAUUGCUAAGUUAGAGGUGAAAUGUCCGAGCUUAACUCGCGAACUGCCUCUAAUACUGUUGAUCUAGAGAGUAGAUGAGGUAGGCGGAAUGUAUGGUGUAGCGGUGAAAUGCUUAGAGAUCAUACAGAACACCGAUUGCGAAGGCAGCUUACCAACCCAUAUCUGACGUUGAGGCACGAAAGCGUGGGGAGCAAACAGGAUUAGAUACCCCAGUAGUC